rnacentral:misc_RNA from 1 species
ACACCCUCAAGCUCUGCAUGGUGUUGGGCGUCUGUCCCGCCUCUGCGCGCGGACUCGCCCCAAAUUCAUUGGCAGCGGUCCUUGCCUCCUCUCGCGCAGCACAUUGCGCUUCUUGAGGUGCGCGGCCCGCGACCACGAAGCAACAUUACCGU